rnacentral:rRNA from 1 species
UACAGAGGUCUCAAGCGUUGUUCGGAUUCAUUGGGCGUAAAGGGUGCGUAGGCGGCGCGGUAAGUCGGGUGUGAAAUCUCGGAGCUUAACUCCGAAACUGCAUUCGAUACUGCCGUGCUUGAGGACUGGAGAGGAGACUGGAAUUUACGGUGUAGCGGUGAAAUGCGUAGAUAUCGUUAGGAAGACCAGUGGCGAAGGCGGGUCUCUGGACAGUUCCUGACGCUGAGGCACGAAGGUCAGGGGAGCAAACGGG